AUCUGUGAUGAUAAGAUCGACGUCAAGUCUUGCAGUCGCAUUUUGGUUGUAGUCCUAGAUGGUAAGAGUAACUUGGAGAUCAUUAGUUAUGGUAUUGUAGCUGUUUAGCAAUUAUUUAUCACGUAUUCAGUAGUCUCUUGAAUAAGCAAAGUUGAGUCGGGGUGGUGAAUGUGAUGGUAAGUUAGCAUGAAUUCCAUGUACUCAGUUUUCUUUUAAAUUACUUUGAUUGUCAAUGAUAGACGGUAGCUGAAAAUCAAUGAUGGAUGGUUGUGUGUUGGGACUGUGGAUGUAGACUUGUAAUGUUUGUUGUGGGUUUGCUCAUGUAGAUUUUGUUUGAUGUGAGAGCUGAUAAGAGAGAAGUGGUAUGUUGUUCAUGGUGUAGUAUUUUGUGUGAAGAUAAGUUGUUAUAGCUAUGUCUUAUAGAAGGUGUGUUUAAGUUUUUCUUUUCUUUAAUUCUUCAACCAUUUAGUUCAAAGUUUCAUUUAUUAAGGGGGCAUUAACACUUCGAGUCAAUAGUUUGUGAUAAGUUUUCUGUUUUG
rnacentral:lncRNA from 1 species